rnacentral:rRNA from 1 species
UACAGAGGGGGCUAGCGUUAUUCGGAAUUAUUGGGCGUAAAGGGCGCGUAGGCGGCCAUGCGUGUCUUCCGUGAAAUCCCUCGGCUUAACUGAGGACGUGCGGAAGAAAACUGCAAGGCUUGAGUCCGGGGAGAGGGGGGGUGGAAUUCCCAGUGUAGCGGUGAAAUGCGUAGAUAUCGUGAGGAACACCAGAGGCGAAGGCGGCUACCUGGACAAUUGCUGACGCUCAGGCACGAAAGCGUGGGGAGCAAAAGGG